AAGAUGCUAACUAUAGGGUAUAUUUUAGUAAAUACAUGAAAUUAUGAGGGAUAUUUUAGUAAAUGACCCUUUCUAUUCAGACUGUCACCUAAAAAACGGAAGAAACUUGUUAAUUGACCUAAGGCGGCGGUCUGAAUAGAUCUAAGUCAGCGGUCCAAACUGCCACCUAAAAAUGGAAGAAACACGUUAACUGACCUAAGGCGGCGGUUUGAACAGAUCUAAGUCGACGGUUUAGAUUGCCACUGAAAAAACAGAAGAAACGUGUUAACGUACCUAAGGCGGAUGUCUAAACAGAUCUAAGCCAGCGGUCUAGACUGCCACCUUUAUUAACUUUGAGUCGAACGGUUCUGAUAUACCGCCGCUUUAGGGAACGAUCGAACUGCAUUAGAUCGGCCUUCAAGGGUGGCGGUCUUUUAUGUCUAAGCCGGCGGUCUUGAGCUAAGCCGAUAGAGGUUUAGGGGCGGAUUGAAGACCGCCACUUUAGAUAAAAGCCGGUGGUCAUUAGGCGUAUUGGGUUUGUUACAAUGGAUAGUAACUACGCACAAAUCUCUCUAAAUAGUUGGGAUUAGGCUCCAUUGGAAUGAGACACUUGUCCAUGAUUGUUGAGACAUUUUCUCAACCAAUCAAGGUUUUCUCUCCCCUAUCUGAUAAAUCUCUCUCAAUGUUUUUAAUCUUUAAUCUGUUAUCUAUUUUCUUACAUGCACAGACAAAGCUUUCCUAGGUUUUUCUUUCUCUUCUUCGAUGGCCGCUCCACCUGCUAGGGCCCGAACCGAUUACAAUUACUUGAUAAAGCUUCUCCUGAUCGGCGACAGCGGUAAGAGAUUUGCUCUUUACGUUCGUCCCUUCCCAAUUCGACAUGCCAGAUUGAUGCCCAGAUGCAGCAGAGAACUGCUCGCAUAUCUACUUUAUUCUCAAAUUGCAAUAUUUUUGAGCAGGUUGUAGCUUAUUUAAUGGUUACAUCAGUAGUUGCAGUGGUGGGGAUACUUUACUUGGCUUACAAUGGCGACAGAGAUGUGAGUUGGAGUGAAGUCUGUACCUUUUAUGGAAAGUUUUGUAGUAGAGCAAAAGUGGCUUUGGUUCUCCAUGCUUAUCAGCAAUACUGCAUAGCCACAAUAUCUCGGAUGGUCGGUGUGUGGAAUGCUGAUAUCAUACAACAUUUUACAGAAACAGCAUCAGGGUCAACUACAAUCAGGAGUUUUGAUCAGGAAUCGAGAUUCAUGGAAACAAAUCUCGAGCUAAUUAAUGCUUAUCAGCAACCCAAUCUCUAUCAUAUUGGUGCAAUGUCGUGGCCAUGCUUCCGCUUGGAUAUAUUGUCAUUAGUGAUGUUUGCUUUCGCUUUGGUUCUUUUGAUCACCUUACCAGGAGUAACUAAUCCAAGGUUAGCAGUGAUGUAUGGACGUACUUUGAACAUGCUACAAGAAGAUGUCAUAUUUACCCUAAGCAACCUUGAGAAUAAAAUUGUAUAUGUAGAGAGAAUACUUCAAUACGCAUGCAUUCCCCAUGAACCUCCUCCCAUAAUAGAAGCAAAUAGACCUGAUCCUAACUGGCCAUCCUGUGGAGAAGUUGAGAUUCAGAAUUUACAGGUUCGCUAUGCCCCACACUUGGCCCAUGUUUUGUGUGGUAUUACAUGCACCUUCAAUGGUGGAGCAAAGAUUGGGAUUGUUGGGAGAACAGCUGUGGUCAAAUUCUAAUCGAUGGUAUUGACAUUAGAACUAUAGGGCUGCAGGAUCCGAGGUCCAGAUUAAGUAUCAUUCCACAAGACCCCACUAUGUUCAAGACCCUGCGAAGCAACCUUGAUCCACUUGUUGAGUACACAGAUCAACAAAUAUGGGAGGCUCUAGACAAGUGUCAACUGGGAGAAGAAAUUAGGAAGAAAGAGGAAAAGCUUGAUUCAGAAGUAGUUGAGAAUGGUGAAAAUUGGAGCCUUGGUCAGCGGCAGCUGGUCUGCUUAGGACGGGCUUUACUAAAAAAGAGUAAAAUUCUUGUGCAUGACAAAGCAACAACUUCAUUAGAUACAGCAACUGAUAGCCUGAUCCAGAGAACAAUAAGAGAUCAAUUUUCAGGGUUAACAAUCAUCAGUGUAGCUCAUCGAAUAGAUUCUGUCCUUGAUAGUGACAUGAUCUUGCUACUUGAUCAAGGUCUUAUUGUGGAGUAUGACCACCCAAGAAAAUUGUUAGAAAACAAAUCUUCAGCAUUCACAAAACUUGUAGCAGAGUAUACCUUAAGGUCAAUCUAGGAAGGAAUAUUAUGAAAUAGGCUUAUCUCAAACAAGAUAGGUAAUUGGGUUGAUAAGGAAGACCUGUUAGAGUUGAUAGUCUGCAGGAGAGGUCAUCUCUUUAUGUCUGUCCCUCUGAAUGGCAUAUCUUAAGGCAUGGCCAGUGUCAAAUGUUACAAUCAUGGAUCAUUAAACACUAGUCAUUACUUGCUACUUGGAACUGGUGUCAUCCAAGUCAAUGGUCUCAUGUAACCAAUCUGAUUUGUAGGGAACAAGUGCAAAUUUACAAGGAUUUUAGGGUCAAAUGUGAUGCUAGCAAGUUAGGAGUGUUUUUAGUAAGUAGACGUUAUAUGAUAGUUAGUUUGGGAGUUUAAUCAAUGUAAAAUGGUUGUGUAUUUGCAGAUGAUUAACUAUUUAGCAGUUUUAAUGACAAGCACAUAGAGAACAUUCACAGUUCA